AACGAACGCUGGCGGCAGGCUUAACACAUGCAAGUCGAGCGCAUCCUUCGGGGUGAGCGGCGGACGGGUGAGUAACGCGUGGGAACGUGCCCUCUUCUACGGAAUAGCCUCGGGAAACUGAGAGUAAUGCCGUAUACGCCCGCAAGGGGAAAGAUUUAUCGGAGGAGGAUCGGCCCGCGUUGGAUUAGGUAGUUGGUGGGGUAACGGCCUACCAAGCCGACGAUCCAUAGCUGGUUUGAGAGGAUGAUCAGCCACACUGGGACUGAGACACGGCCCAGACUCCUACGGGAGGCAGCAGUGGGGAAUCUUGGUCAAUGGGGGCAACCCUGAUCCAGCCAUGCCGCGUGAUCGAUGAAGGCCUUAGGGUUGUAAAGAUCUUUCAGCUGGGAAGAUAAUGACGGUACCAGCAGAAGAAGCCCCGGCUAACUCCGUG
rnacentral:rRNA from 1 species